AAGGGAGACCUAAUUCAGGUAUGGGACGAAAAAAAAGUAGUCGCUACCAAGAAUCAAUCCCAAAAGGUCGGAGCGAGGUAUGAGGCUUUCAAACUAGGUUCUGGGUUCAAACAAGACCUGAAUCAGGAACAAGGGCUAUUAGCUCAGGUGGUUAGAGCGCACCCCUGAUAAGGGUGAGGUCCCUGGUUCGAGUCCAGGAUGGCCCACCUGCACAGGUGGCAAAAACAAGAGAAGCGAGGAAUCAGCACCUUAUCUUAUCUAUAUAUAUAUAGGAGAGAAUGCUGGCUCUGAGUAAAGAGUCCAGAGGAACCUUGAAAACUGCAUAGAGCUAGGUGAAAAAGCCAAAAAAGAAGACCGCAA
rnacentral:tRNA from 1 species